AGACACACCUGUGUGGCACGGUCCGAACACUGGACCCUGAUCCGCUUGAAACCAUUUGUGAUAUCGCAGACAUUGACAUUUAAACUCCCUCUUUCAGCAGAUGAACAGCCUGCUUGUGUGAAAGGAGCCCAGUUUGAGUAAUUCUUCAGCAUCAAUGAGUUAGCAGUCAGGUUACAUGUUCCCUGUGCACACUGUAUUCCUCAAGAAGCUAAACUCUUUCCUGCCAGGUAUGGUUUUGAAUACACAUUAUUCUUCACAGAUGUUUCAUCAACACGUUUAUCAAAACCCAUCCAGUUAGAUUUCCAUGAAUUAAAAAGCAAUUGAAGGUAUGCGACUGCCAUCAUCAUAAUGUAAAAGUGCCAUGAAGUCAUCUUCUAUACACAUAUUUAGUGUUUAGUACUUCAUGUUUACAGCCAUACAAAUUCUGAACACUAGUCGGCGCUGUUCGGUGUCUGGAGGGAGACUGGCCGGAGAGGCUCGAGGGGCGCUGGGAGAACCAGUCCCAGAAAGUAUGAAUCAUUUCCUGAUCAUACACUGACGUCACUUAGCAUAACACAGUGUGUCCAUUCCCACAGGGGAAAAAGCUACUGUCUCACUUGGUGCAAAUGGACAGACACAACCCCAGGGACAUCGCCGGCUUUUCUGCUUGUCAUGACCGAUCACUUCCUCAGUGCAGCAACACGACUUGGCGUGUGCUUAAUUUGACCAUAUGAGCGCUGUCUGCACACAGCAUGUCAUGCUAGUGAGGCGAGACAGCUGCACCGGAGUCCUUGGGCAAGACAUCCAAUGUGCCAUGUUGCUCUUGCAAGUUGGGCCUCCAGUGAAUGAAUUCACUGUGUAAAACCUGCGUCAGUGUAGGAAUGGGUGUGAAGGGUGACAUUAAGUGUCAGAAGAUUAGAAAAGAGAAAUAUAAAAAGAGUCCAUCUACCAUUACAAGCAGCGGGAACAAUUCAGUCAGGAGCCGCUUUUACAUUUGAACUCAAAUGUACCUUUUUUUAAUAUUACCUUUUACUGGGUAGAACUUCACAAUGUAACCAGGGAUAAAGUUAGCUAUUAGCUUCCAUACUGUCAUACUGCCGGUCACUGACUUUAUUUUGAUGGCAACUAAUUACUGAAGGUAAUUGAAGGUCGACAGAAAUGGCUGCUCACACCACAUGAAGCUUCAGAGUGCUGUGUGAGCUCCUCAGCUCCCGCUGUGUCUAAUCACAAGUAAACACACAAACAGGAAGUUCACAGAAUCAAGUGUCGGCAGCUUCUCAGCACCGGUCUGUCUGUCUCCGGUGAGCAGCAGUUUCAUUGGCUUUCGCAAGACAGCGUGGGUCAAAUGUUGCUUUGCUCCAUUGGCUUUUUUGCGUCUUUGGCGUCUGUGCAUUGACUUUGCAUGGAAUCUUGGUUCUUGGUCAUGUACAUUAAUUAUAUAUAUUCCCAGAUACACUCAAAAUACUGGAGGCUUAGGACCUGACUAACUGACCCGGCAACUCAUCGGCAGAUUUCCAGUCAUCAGGGAACCAGCUGGGCUCAAUGGACACAUUAAUCAAAUGAGCAAUGGCUCGAGUCGAAGUGUAUUUGGUGUCAAAUUGAAAAGAUUCUCUACAUUUGGACCUUUUUAAGGAACUUGUGAUUUUGUUAACGUGAGCCUCGUUGGUCUGUACCAGCUUGAAAAUGUGGCCUGUAGCAUCUUUCCCUUUGGUAAAUCAUAUGUCCAGCAUACUUGGCAAUAAAUCUGAAUUGCCCUCCUUUGUGCAGCUCCUCUAGUCUUCAUCGGCUUCCAGAAAUUCUAUUGAACUACCCUCACAUUAAAUGUUUCCCUCACAGAGUUGAUUCUGGGAGUAAAGUUGUUACGACCAUAGCCUAAUUUAUGGGUCCAGGUGAAGCUGUUAAUUUCACCUGCUUAGCUUAGUUAUGCACUGAAGGAUCUUUGUCUUACUAAACUAAAAUAUUCAUAACUAUUUUUAUCAGUUUAGAAAAAUUAAAAAUGGAUUCUUGAACAUUUUAUUUUAAGGUUUUAAGUCAAAUGCAUUUUUUAAGUAAAAACAUACUGGUAUACGUGGUUCCGUAGGUGGCCUGUGAGCUUAAGGGUUGAAAUCCGCUUUAAAACUAAUCGGGCCUGUGUGGGAUUAAAGGCUGCUGUGUGCUGGUGUCUGGAUGUGUAUCGGUCGCCUCUGGAUGCACACAGGGCCGCUGUGCGGGCAAAUUGGCCUGACCUCAUCAAAUCACAGGUUGAUCAAAGAUCGCAGUGUAAAGCCCCAACGCAAAAACGGCUCAGCAACAACAGUGUGGGCCGUGUGCCGUCACACCCUGUAGAGUUAUCCAAAUACGCUUUCAUUCAAAUGUCAUAUUGCAUUUGCCACCGUGGCUAAACAAUUCCUAAGAUAAAAGCCACAUAGUGGGGAGAAUACCAAAGCUACGUCAUAGCAUGUUAGUAUACUUUGCGUUCACACCAAAAGCAAAGCAAAUUAUUUGCACAAGUAGAUUCCGUGCAAAGUCAAAGCACAGAUGUGACUCUUCGCGGAAGAAGAGAAUUUUCAACGGGCGGCGCCGAGGACGUGAAAACUCGCUUUUUCGCCGUGGUCAAAAUAUUUCAACUUUGAAAAAUUCACCUGACGCUGUACGCGAAAGCCAAUCAGAGCUCGUCAUCACCGCCGUCCUGCUGCCAAACGCUUUACUCACACGACCAGUUGUGGUUAUUUUGCUCCAUUCGCGCCUGUAAGGGGCUUGUCUCUGUUACUUAAUCAUUUCCGCUAUCCACCAUGGAAAUAAAUAACCACUAUUUCCGCUCUUUAUUUGUUGUCUGAAUUUAAAAAACAAUGCAGCCACUAGUGGAUUUGAAUUUUUGAAACAUUACGUGUAACGAACAGGUGCCAAACUCCGUCCGGCCCGCAGAAGGACUUCGCUAUUGUGAGAAUUACACAAAGACAUAAAUUGCAUUUCUAUAAAAGUGGCUGCUAUUCCUAAAAAGGCCACUGGGGGUGCCACUCUGUGAGUGACCAGCAGGUCGUUCACCAACGCAGUGCCGCUGGAACAACGAGAGGCUGGAUGUGCUUAUGUCUCGGACAUAAUGGACGUUAACUAACUAAUGGAUGUUUGUCCAAUAAUGUUACUCGUCUCUGUUGGAGCAUCGUGGUCUCCGUUCUCUUCACCGGUUUUCUGUCCUUCCUGUAGCCGAGCUACAAUGUGUAUCUCCAGGGACCAACACUCAGUUCUUUUAAUGUAAGGUUACAUAUUGGUCUACUAUUGUACAGUAAAGCUGAUGAAAGGACCUAAUCCUCGAACUUUGCGCUGUAUCACUCCACAACAGAAAUGCGUUGUCCUAUCGUCAGCUACAGGAAAACAUUUUAACACUGUUACAAGUUUGACUUUGGAGUUGCCAGAUAACAAAGUGAGACUCCAUAGAAGACGAGCGUGACACACAGGCAAAGCAGAAGAAAAGAUCUGGGUGGAUUGGUUUAUCUGGGUCUACAGACCUUCAGGGUGCAACCAGUUAACUAACCGUGUACACACAAACAGAACAGAUGGGUUGUUUAAAUAGAUAUAGAGUGAAAAGUCUGUUAAGCCCAGAAACUACAUGAAAAUACAGGAAAUAGACCAGUGAAAUGUUCAUCGGAGGAUUUCUUAACUCAAUUAUGAAAAUCAAAAAGUUCCAGUCACCACAAGAUGCUCCCAAACCCUUUAAACUAGGUCUUACAUUUCUCCUUGUCAUCUAAUUAUUCUCUAAGGGAUGUAACUGAAAUUCAGUUCAGUGAAAUUAUAAGCGAUUUCAUAUAAAUACCUACAUAUAAAACAUGGCUUUGGUUGAACGGGGUCAGAUAUCGCUGUGAAAUAGACAAAUUUGCACUUGACUAAAUAGAAUGCAAUGUUAUAUUUGAAACAACUAUCCACAAAUAAAAUGCAUCAAUAUGUGGUAGUAUUGUCCAAGAUACAGAAUGCAUAUAGACGUAGAUAUUUAGCAGAAUAUAUAGACAUGUUGCUUGACACAUUCAGCGUACCCAGCCUGACCCCUGAUUGGGUUGCAUUUAGCCUCAUGACCGUCCCGGCCAGCAUGUCAGCCUGUUCCGUAGCCGCUUGGUCUACAACAUGCUGCUUAAGUUGGGCGGACGUCCCUGAGAGCGCAUGUGAACUGAUGGAGAAGAGCUUCAGUGCCGAGGCCGACCCAACACUACAGCGAUGCUCCUAGUGACACAAUGUGCACACACAGGGUUCAACCCGAGGUCGACAGCCAGCGCGGGAUUCUUCAUCCAAAUUUGACCCGUUUUGACAUUUGAAAGCUGUAAGAAAAUACCCCAAACGUCGUUCUUUUAUACUGAAAUUUGAUGACUUUUCCUUAAGCGACUCCCAAAAAAAUGAAAGGGGAAAAUAUUUUUAAAUAUUAUAUAUUUGUACAGGUGAUACACAUUUUUUAUAAAAUUUGACCCGUAUUUAUUGAGAUCAAUCGCAGUGGUUGUAGGGAAGUUCAUGUCUAUUUGUCAUGGGACAGAGGUGACAGUUCAAGGAGGGUCUCCGCUGUCUCAGGAACAACAUUUGGUAAUCACUUUUAUGUAUAAUGUAAAACUGAUGAUGUGUAAUGUAUAGUAUUAAGUUAUUAAGGGUAAAUAUACAUUAGCAUAUCAGUAGUUUUGCUGUAGACACCCUGUGAAGGGAUCCAAUAGGAACAGCGUACGGCUUAAAGAGAUGUUGUUGUACUGGUGUCUAUUUCACGUUAUUUCUAUGCGCUGCACUUUGCGGACUUCAGGGGGUCCGUGCACCCCGCUGGCGCACUGGUUAGGCACCAGCAGCACCGUGCACUACACCAGCCACUCAGGUAGCGUGUCGAGGGGCGGUGACCAAUCAGAGCAGUAGUCCCGCCCCCAGGACCACGUCCACUCAUUCGAAAGAUUCGGCCCGGACCUCCGCUGACUGAACGGCCGUGCAGGUCGGACAGUCACCGGCCUCCAUGCCGGUUCUGUCUGCUGGACGGCAGCAGCAGCUGCUGUGGCGUGCGUGCGUGCGUGCGUGCCAUGGUGAUUAUGACGACUGAUACAGCAAAUCAUUUAGUACGUCAUCCACGAUUUGUUGUGUCAAUAAACGUAUUGUGCAAGAAAAAGACGGGCUGAUUCAACAGACACAGUGAAUGAAUGCAGAUGAAUGCAUGAACCGUAUUGAAACACACGCGCUCUCCCUGAAACGCGCAGCUGUAUUCUUUCAGAAUAAAAGCAGAGCUUCAGAGCAGGAACGAUAAACGCCUCGGCGGGUGCACCUGUCUGCAAAUGGCGCUGACUGAAAGAAAUGUCAACACAUUGUGCGCGAGCUGCUGCUGCUGGUCAUGAUGAUGAUGAUGAUGAUGAUGAUGAUGCUGAUGCUGCUGUCAGUGACUCACCGCUCCGUUCAGAUCAGCCUGCAGAAGAGAAGAUGCUCAGCGGUCAGUGCUCCUCGACACACAGAGAAACAAAGCGCGAUGGAGAAGCUCCAACAAUGUGUCAGGUUCCAGUGCAGCGCGGAGGAGAGGGCGCGCGGUGCCCUCCGCGCUGUCUCACAGGCGCCACCAGACGGGGACCGCCUGAGGCCACCGGACACAGGAUUGCGCCUUCAUUUCAGAUAUCAUGUACGGGCAGAGGAAGGAGGGUCGCUGGUUCGAUCCAAGGCUCCUCCAGUUCAUGUGGACGUUUCCUUACACUGUAACAAAUUUCUGUAAAUUUACGGUGCAUUUCUAACGUAUCUUACAGUAUGUCAUAAUAACUGUAACAUACAGUUAAAUUUCCAUCCCUUGCUUGUAAAUUAACGGCCAAUGUCAUGCAUAAACAGUUAAAGCUAUUAUUAUUUACAAUAAUAGCAGACUACCGUAAUUCAACUGCAUGUUACAUAUAUUUUAUGAAGUGGUGGAAAUACACAUACAAGUGCAGUGAAUCACAGUCCAUCUACAUCUGUUGGAGGUUCAUGUAUGGAAGCCCAUGUCAGCCACUGAAAAACAGCUCCUGUAAGUCACCAUAAUGAGAUACGAUGAUGACUGACUUACAGGACAUUACUAUACAUGCAGCUGUCACUUUUACCCAAAACGCCCAUGGUUUGACAUCAUUUAUGUGGAGUAAUUGGGGAUUAGGUGUCUUGCUCAGGGACACUUCGACAUGGCACAGGGAGCAGCCAGGACUCAAACCGCGGACCGUGUGCUGCACAGCACACCCUCCCUAUCGCAUGCACCACCUUCGCUGUCAUUUCAGUAGCCGGAAUGUAAAGAUUAUAAAUAUUUGUAUUAUGUGUUCAUUGCCUAAAAGUUGUAGCGUAGGGGUGCGUGUUUAAAACGAAGGAUAGGUUAGGCGCCAGACAGGCAAAUAACCCACUUUACUUCCUGUCAUUUCUUUAAUACUAUCGUUUGUAAAAUGCACAAUAAUGUACCCGACCAUCUGGGUACCGCUGCUGCAAAAUGUAAAGUAAAUCAAAGACCAAAUCAGGAAGCCCAUCUACUCAGGGAAAACAGCUGUAUUCAAACAUAAAUGAUAUAAUCCCCAUCAAAACUUAAGGUACAGCAGUUCAAGAAAAACGUGAGAGUGACUUUGGGAAUCCGGAGAGGUGUUUCUGUGGGGACUGAUCGACCCGGCGAGCCGUAGGGAAAAAAACAGUCUGCAGACUGUGGUCUGCUACAAAGUCAUUUGAGUGUUAAUCGUGACCGACUGCUCCUGAACGUGACGUGAAUCUCAGUUCAUCCAGAACACCUGUCAGUUCAACAUGGGAGGAGUUUCUCAUUGCCUCGUCUCUCCAAGUAACGUUGGGAAGUGUUAUUUGUCUAGCAUGAUUAACAUUCUCCUACCUUACAUCUUGUUGUCUUCCUCAUCUUUGUAAUUUGAAUAUUUUCCAAUGAUAGUGUUUCUAAAUAUUUUAUUUUGGUUUGUUUUACAGAGGCUCUGGAUUAAGGACGCCAGCCGUUUGCUGCGGUCAAUUGAAAGUGUUCCAUAGCGUAUUGCUGCAGUUAGUUUACCUUGUUCCCAAUGAUUUUAUGAUUCAUGUUUUUAUUAUUGUAUACAUGCGGCAUAUUUUAUGUUUUGUUCUUGGUUAAAAAUGUCUAACAUUUUUGUCUCAAAGGCAUCUAAUAAACUCCAACCACUAUGACCGAAAUGAGUUUGGUUGUCUUUCUUUAAUUUGUGGGGAAUUAAAUGCAAAAGUAUACGGUUAUGAGUAAACGGUAACAUUCUGGUAUUUAUAACACAAAAACCGUAAUCGUAUGGUAACAAACUGUAAUCCAAUAUACGACAACAUACCGUAUAUUACGGUAGGGCACUGUAAAUAAAACAGUAAGUUACUAGUGUCGACUGCCAGUAAAUUGCAGUUAAUUCACAGUAAAAUUGGUACGGUAUUAUACCGCAAAAUAACGGUAAAUUCCUAGCGUCCUUGCUGCCUGUAAAAUACCGUUAAUUUACGGUGACAUUUUUUAGAGUGUACAUUUAAGCCCUCGUUGAAGUGUUGCACAUCAUCUGUAAGUUAGGAACCAGAGGUUUGAUAUUUCAUAUAAAUAUUGUCGUGUUCUUCAACUUCUUCUGUCAUUUAUGAUCAAAUUUUUAACGCCUGUACAACCUUCAGGUGCAGGUAUACUGGUGGCCAUUCCCAUGCUCACUUCUGUCUCAUACAAUGGAUUCAGUUUGUUUGACACAUCCGGUGCUAAAUGUAUCAAAUGUAAAAUUAGAUAUAGAAAUGGUCAAAAAGUAAACCAACGACAAUCCAAGCUGUGACACUGACGUUGCUCAGCGAUCAGUACGUACUGAUGCUCAGAAACCUCCUUAUUGUUUGCAUACCCAUGAGACAGUGGUCAUUUUAUACAGUGCCUAAACUAUUCAAAACAUGCAUUGAUUCACAUUAUUUCCAUUGAAAUGUCUUCAGCUGAGGUCAAGGGACCC
ensembl:lncRNA